rnacentral:rRNA from 1 species
GAUGAACGCUGGCGGCGUGCCUAAUACAUGCAAGUCGAGCGAACGGACGAGAAGCUUUCUUCUCUGAUGUUAGCGGCGGACGGGUGAGUAACACGUGGAUAACCUACCUAUAAUACUGGGAUAACUUCGGGAAACCGCAGCUAAUACCGGAUAAUAUUUUGAACCGCAUGGUUCAAAAGUGAAAGACGGUCUUGCUGUCACUUAUAGAUGGAUCCGCGCUGCAUUAGCUAGUUGGUAAGGUAACGGCUUACCAAGGCAACGAUGCAUAGCCGACCUGAGAGGGUGAUCGGCCACACUGGAACUGAGACACGGUCCAGACUCCUACGGGAGGCAGCAGUAGGGAAUCUUCCGCAAUGGGCGCAAGCCUGACGGAGCAACGCCGCGUGAGUGAUGAAGGUCUUCGGAUCGUAAAACUCUGUUAUUAGGGAAGAACAUAUGUGUAAGUAACUGUGCACAUCUUGACGGUACCUAAUCAGAAAGCCACGGCUAACUACGUG